rnacentral:rRNA from 1 species
UACAUGUGGGGCAAGCGUUGUUCGGAAUUACUGGGCAUAAAGGGUGCGUAGGCGGCUUGUUAAGUCACUGGUGAAAGUUUUCGGCCCAACCGGAAAAUGGCCUGUGAUACUGGCGAGCUUGAGUGCGUGAGGGGUGGGGGGAACGAGCAGUGUAGCGGUGAAAUGCGUAGAUAUCUGGAGGAAUACCGGUGGCGAAGGCGGCAUCCUGGACCGGCAUUGACGCUGAGUGAGCGAAAGCCAGGGGAGCAAACGGG